UACGGAGGAUCCAAGCGUUAUCCGGAAUCAUUGGGUUUAAAGGGUCCGUAGGUGGACGAUUAAGUCAGAGGUGAAAUCCUGCAGCUCAACUGUAGAAUUGCCUUUGAAACUGGUUGUCUUGAAUCAUUGUGAAGUGGUUAGAAUAUGUGGUGUAGCGGUGAAAUGCAUAGAUAUCACAUAGAAUACCGAUUGCGAAGGCAGAUCACUAACAAUGUAUUGACACUGAUGGACGAAAGCGUGGGGAGCGAACAGG
rnacentral:rRNA from 2 species